rnacentral:rRNA from 1 species
AUUGAACGCUGGCGGCAGGCCUAACACAUGCAAGUCGAACGAGUGGCGGACGGGUGAGUAAUGUCUAGGAAACUGCCCGAUGGAGGGGGGUAACUACUGUAAACAGUAGAUAAUACCGCAUACCCUCGGAUGUGCCCAGAUGUGGUUAGCGCGUAGGGGGGGUAAAGGCUCACCUAGGCGACGCUCCCUAGCUGGUCUGAGAGGAUGACCAGCCACACUGGAACUGAGACACGGUCCAGACUCCUACGGGAGGCAGCAGUGGGGAAUAGUGCACAAUGGGCGCAAGCCUGAUGCAGCCAUGCCGCGUGUAUGAAGAAGGCCUUCGGGUUGUAAAGUACUUUCAGCGAGGAGGCGUUACUCGCAGAAGAAGCACCGGCUAACUCCGUGCCAGCAGCCGCGGUAAUAC